rnacentral:rRNA from 1 species
UACAGAGGUCUCAAGCGUUGUUCGGAUUCAUUGGGCGUAAAGGGUGGUGUAGGUGGCGCCGUAAGUCGGGUGUGAAAUUUCGGAGCUUAACUCCGAAACUGCAUUCGAUACUGCGGUGCUUGAGGACUGGAGAGGAGACUGGAAUUUACGGUGUAGCGGUGAAAUGCGUAGAUAUCGUAAGGAAGACCAGUGGCGAAGGCGGGUCUCUGGACAGUUCCUGACGCUGAGGCACGAAGGUCAGGGGAGCAAACGGGG